GACUGGUCUGAGUGCAGUGGUGUUUACAACUAAUUGAUCACAAUUAUAGAUUCCUUUAUUCCUUCUCCACUCCCACUCCUUCAUCUGGCUAGCCUUAA
ensembl:misc_RNA Y_RNA Y RNA